GACGAACGCUGGCGGCGUGCUUAACACAUGCAAGUCGAGCGGUAAGGCCCUUUCGGGGGUACGACGAGCGGCGAACGGGUGAGUAACACGUGGGUGACCUGCCUUUAGCUCUGGGAUAAGCCUGGGAAACGUGGGUCUAAUACCGGAUAUGACUCCGCGGUGCAUGCUGUGGGGUGGAAAGCCUUGUGCGGCUGGAGAUGGGCCCGCGGCCUAUCAGCUUGUUGGUGGGGUGAGGCCUACCAAGGCGACGACGGGUAGCCGGCCUGAGAGGGCGACCGGCCACACUGGGACUGAGACACGGCCCAGACUCCUACGGGAGGCAGCAGUGGGGAAUCUUGCGCAAUGGGCGAAAGCCUGACGCAGCGACGCCGCGUGAGGGAUGA
rnacentral:rRNA from 1 species